GCCAGGGCGACCGGCUGCGGCCUGCAGGGUGUCGGCGCCAGUCGGGGAGCAGCGACUGUGACCCGCCGGGGCCGGCACCUAAGGGUGGGAUUUUCGAAAACAUCUGAUUUAGGUGCACCGGCACCAUUGACUUCAACCUGCAGACCCUGAUGGAGGAGUAGAGCCUGGUUGAAGCAUUUCAGCUUCUUGACUUGUGGAAGUUCAAUAUAUUGGAAGGUGAUGUUGAUUGCAAAUAUAGCUCAGAUUUAUCAGUUUUGUUUUUGAUUUCAUAUUGUUCAUACAGUAAGGACGUGAAUCAUAAAAAUGUAGGGUUGAAAGGGACCUCAAGAAGUCAAGUCCAAUACCCUGUGUUGAGGCAGGACAAAGUAAACCUAGACCAUCCCUGACACGUGUUUGUCCAACCUGUUCUUAGUGAGGCUCUAGACAGGACUUUUUCAGCAUAGAUGUGAAACUUAGAAAAAAAAAAUCUCUGUAAAAUCUGAAAUUCUGCUUGCAAUUUGGAAACCAAUUAAAGAAACAAGUACCGUACAGACCAUCUACUUUACAAAUUUAAUAUUAAAAUAUGGGAAGGAUGUAAAGAAUGAGCAAUAUGCAAAUAAAAAUAUCUACUAAUAGAGCACAAACCCAUCAGCUGCAGACGGGAUGGUCACAGGUUUCUGUAAAAGCCGGCCCCUUGACAAGAGCUGCAGUAUGUGGUUUUGGAAGUGGGUGAUAGGUUCAUAGGUUUCAAUUCCAGGGGUUCUCUGGAACUUGAGCAGCUGUUAGGAAUCCCUCUGAUAUUUAUGACCAAGUGAUGGCCACAGCUAUCAGCAUCAGGAGCAGGAGAAAGAAGCCUGCCAAGCACUGCAAUCAAUCAAGGAAGGAGGCAAUGCUAAGCAGUGGGCCAGAAGCCCCUAAGGCAGAGGCACUUACCCAUGCACUGGGCUCCAUUCUGAUCUGUUACACUAGUGUACAACUAGAAUAACUACAUUGACUUCAUUGAAGUCAUUCCUGAUUUAGAGCAGUGUAAGAACAGAAUCAACCCUGUAUCCACCACCUUCAGCUCACUCAGAUCUUGGCCUAGGUUUCUACUAGUAGUUCAUGUCUCCCUCCCCAAUUGACCCCUAUUGCCUUUGAAGCCACUAUCCCUACAUCCCUCCAACAGAAGGGGGUUCACUCUACCAACCUUCUCAAAGCAGACAUUUUAGGGGUUUGCAGCAUGCUGUGCUUCAAAGCUGCACCCUAGAACCCCUAUAUUCACCACUGUCAUGUAAUUAUGCUAUAUUUUGUACAAAGUAUGCCUUGUGAGAUAUUAUUUUAAAAGUUUUUAUCUAUUGUAUAUUAAUAUCCUGUUGGAUUGUAUGUGAAGUUAUGAAGUUUUGCUGUGUGUGUGUUACUGAAAUAUGUUGUAAGGUUGUGAACACUCACAACAAGCCUUUCAGGUGCAACAAAGGAGGAGCCAGACACACUGAUGACCUGUUAAAGGACUCCAUACCCCCAAGAAUCACAUACAAUGGAGACUUCUCAGAGAUAGCACAUAGACAAUGGAAACUGCUUGACGCAUGUCAUAGCAAAGCCUCUUUUCAGCAAGCUAAACGAAGCUAUAAAAGAGGGGAAGUAACAUCAUCACUUGGCCUCUCACCCCCCACAACUCAACACCUGGAAACAUAUCUGGAGGGGAAAGACUGAACUGGGGAGGUGGUUUCAGGCUGGAAGAGAAUUCCAGCCUAUGUAUGGAAGAUCUGUAACCUGCUUGUAUUAUCUACCAGGGGGAGACACUGCUUGAUUGAAAUCCUAUCUAGUUUAUAUAACUCAGAUUGUGAUUUUACUUUUAUUUCUUAGAUAGAUUUUAAGUGAUUAUAAGUAAUAAGUGUACAGAUCAAAGUUGGCUCUCUGUAGUUAAUAAAUCUGUUUUAUAUUUUA